GGAUAAUUAAAGAAUGCCACGUGUAUUGAUGAUGAGCAGAAGGCUCUCAUCUAAUUUAAGUGUCUAUAAUGAUGAUCUUUGUUUGCAGUAAGUAAGAGUUGCGGUUCUUACCUCUGAUUUAAACAUAUCCCAAAGUGUUUUCAAAUUUUUGAUCUGAUGUUUUGGCAGAUGUAAAUGUAUGAAAUUUUUGGACCAUGUACAUAGUGUGGAAAUUUACAAUUAAUUUAGAAGCAACCAGAAUGUUUAUAUUUAGCAAAAUCGGUACUUGUGUAUAUCUAUAUAAUCUAUGAAGGAACAUAUUUGCUGAUAAUCUUGGACUUGCAAAGGAUGGAUGGAUGGAUUUUUUCAUGUGGAUUAAAAUUGACUUUUGAAGUAUUCCUAAUAUGUGGAUUAAAUAAGAUAUCCAAAUCUUUUUAAUGUGAAAUGGAAAAGGACAAAGUAUGAGUUCUAAUAUGUGAAUUAAAACUGAUGGAUAAUUUGUUAUAGAGCAAGCAUAUAUCAUGGAGAGUUUAUAGCUGUUAACUAUAAAAAUCAACAGAAAAAGUGAUUUUAGACUGAUGUGAUUUAAUAAAUUGGUAUUUAUCAAAGAUAUUUUCUUUAUGAACUUUAAUUUUGUUGGAUUUCUCUUAUUCAUUUUAUCUUUAUUUCUACUUCGAGCAGCUAGUGUUUUCCUUUUACACAGUUCAACUUCAAGUAUAUGUUUAAUUAUUGUGUUU